UUGAAACAGUUAAGUAUUUUUCAAAGCAACUAAAAAAUAAAAAAAAGUUAUCUAAUAUAUUUAACUCAUUUGUGUUAAAAAGCCUUUAUUUUUGUCAUUGUUAACAACAUUUUGCUGGAUUGAAAGAUUGCAUACUUAUUGUUCUGUGUUUCAUACUUAAUGUAAAGAAAUCUACCAUAAUUCUUUUUUCUCCUUGGUGUGUAACACAACUUUUCUCUCUGGGUGCCUUCAAGAUUUACUCCUUUAUUUUUUUGGUGAGGAAGAUUUGCCCUGAGCUAACAUCUGUGCCAAUCUUCCUCUAUUUCAUAUGAAGGUCACAGCCACAGUAUGGCUGCCACCAAGUAGUGGAGAUCUGCACCCAGGGACAAAACCUGGGCCACUGAAGUGGAGCACACCAAACUUAACUGCUAGGCCAUGGAGCUGACCCUAAAAUUUACUCUUUAUCUUUGAUUUUCAGCAGUUGAAUAUGAUGGGCCCAGGCACAUUGAUUGCUGUUUAUCCCACUUGGAGUUCUCUGAGCUUCUUGAGUUGUGGUUUGAUUAUCUCAUGGUCUUUCAUUAUUUUUGGUAUAUUUUCAGCCAUUAUCUCUCUAAUAUUUCUUGUUUUUUGUUUUUUUUUUUUAAAGAUUUUAUUUUUUUCCUUUUUCUCCCCAAAGCCCCCUGGUACAUAGUUGUAUAUUCUUCACUAUGGUAUGUGGGACGCUGCCCCAGCGUGGUGUGACGAGCAGUGCCAUGUCUGCGCCCAGGACUCGAAACACUGGGCCACCUGCAGCUGAGCACACGAACCCAACCACUCUGCCAUGGGGCCAGCCCCACUCUCUAAUAUUUCUUUUAUCCUAUUUUUUCUCCUUCUUCUUGAGAACUUCCUGUAUACUAGACUAUUUGAUAUCGUUUCUAGCCCUUGGACGUCCUGUUCUGGGUUUCAUUUUUCCUUUUUGUAUUUCAGUUUGCAUAAUUUCUAUUGCCCUAUCUUCAGAUUUAUUAGUUCUUUCUUCAGCUGUGUGAAUCUACUGAUGAGACCUUCAAAAGCAUUCUUCUUUUCUAUUAUCUAUUGCCUGUUAUGCAUUUUUUUUUAUUUCAAGCAUUACCAUUUGACGCUUUCUUAUAGUUUCUUUGUCUCUGUUGACAUUGUGCUUCUCUGUUGUUUAUUUGUGUUGUCCACCUUUUUUACUAGAGUCUUUAUCAUAUUAAUCAGAUUUAUUGUAAUCCCUUGUAGGAUAGUUCCAAGAACUGCUUCAUCUGUGAGUCUGACUUUGUUAAUCACUUUGUCUCUUAAUAGUGACUUUUUCCCUUACUUUUUGAUGUGUCUUCUAAUUUUUGAUUGCUUGUCAGCAUAGUAUGUAGAAUAUUAAACAUUUAGAUAAUAGUUUUGCCUGGAAAUGUGCAUACUUCUUAUUCUGAUAGACUGUCAGCAUGGGGAGUUAUCCUCGUCAACAGAGGAACUGGAUUUGGGUUUUGUUGUUGCUCUGGUUACAUUUAGUGCACCAUCAGCUUCCAAUUCCUCUGGUGUGAUUUUUGCUUAAUGAAGAGAUUGGUUUUCCAGAAGGUUUAUCUUGAUCUUCAUGCUACACCUUUGUAUUUAGGAUCCCCCACGUGCCUGUGCUCUUGCUAUGCCCUUGCUCAUCCCUCACCAGGAGACAGCUGUUGCUUGUUACUUGGUGUUUGGGGUUAAAGGGGACACAGUUUUCUCCUCCUGACUCAGCUGUUUAUGUGGGCCUCAGGGUGGGGCUUUCUCAGCAAUCUUGCCCCUCUCUCAGAGGUAGAAUUAUUUUUUCUUUUACAUUCCCCCAACCACAGUCUGUUGUCACCUUUGCGCUGCAAAAGACAGAAUUUUCUGCCCUUCCCGUAGUGUCUUAAAGCUUUUUUCCCUUAGAGGCAAAAGGACCACAUAGGACUCCAUGCCUUUCCGGCCUUCCUUCCUCCAGGACUGCAUCACAGAGAGAGACUUUGUGUAGUCUGCUGUCUUGCUCCAAUCUUUCUCAAGAGCAGCAGGAUGAGGAGGUCUUGUGUAUAGUGACAAGAAUGACCUUGGGGGGCCGGCCCCAUGGCUGAGUGGUUAAGUUCGCACGCUCUGCUUCGGUGGCCCAGGGUCUCGCCAGUUUGAAUCCUGGACACGGACAUGGCACCACCCAUCAGGCCAUGCUGAAGCAUCAUCCCACAUGCCGCAACUAGAAGGACUCACAUGGCGGGCUUUGGGAGAAAAAGGAAAAAGAAAAAAAAAAAGAAUGACCUUGGGAUCACCUUACCUAGGUUUAAAUCAAAUAACAUUUGGUCUCAAACAAGUUAUUUAAGCUGACUGUGACUCAAUUUCACCAUGUAAAAAAUAGAGAUGGCAAUCCUAGUGCUUAUAACAUAGAGUAGUUGUGGAAUUUAAAUGGCAAUCUUAUAAAAACAUAGUAAGUGCCUAGCACAAAGAAAGUGCUCAUAAAUACUGCUUUGUGUUGUUAUGCUUAGCCUACAGAUCCAGCCACGAGAUCAAAGUGUCAGUUGACAUGUAUAUGCUACAUUUAUUGCCAGUCUUACCUGAACAAAUAAUUUUAGCCAUAUUCUGAUUAACAAUUUCUAAUCUUUAGAUGAGUUCCAUUUGGACUCUGGAGGACAUCCAGUAACUGGUUGGUAAAUAUGUCACUCUGACUGAGCCUAUGAAUCUCUGUUUGGUCUUAUAAAAAGUUUGAAAAGCUUCCUAUUAUGAAUUUGUCUAAUUCCCUCUCCAAAAGUGAUUGCCUUCAUUUUACUUUUACUUCCAUCUCUCCUACCUUUCUUAAAGAAAAAAUAAGGAUCAUAUAUAUGUUCUGCAUUUUGUAUCUGUCAUUCUGAUUUCUAAUCUAUCUUUGGCUAUUCUAAAAGGAACUGUCUUCCAAUAAACAUUUUAUAUACUUUAUCAAAGGAAUGUCCUUC
ensembl:lncRNA